rnacentral:rRNA from 1 species
GUGGGGAAUAUUGGACAAUGGGCGAAAGCCUGAUCCAGCCAUGCCGCGUGUGUGAAGAAGGUCUUCGGAUUGUAAAGCACUUUAAGUUGGGAGGAAGGGCAGUAAGUUAAUACCUUGCUGUUUUGACGUUACCGACAGAAUAAGCACCGGCUAACUUCGUGCCAGCAGCCGCGGUAAUACGAAGGGUGCAAGCGUUAAUCGGAAUUACUGGGCGUAAAGCGCGCGUAGGUGGUUUUGUAAGUUGGAGGUGAAAGCCCCGGGCUCAACCUGGGAACUGCCUCCAAAACUGCAUGACUAGAGUACGGUAGAGGGUAGUGGAAUUUCCUGUGUAGCGGUGAAAUGCGUAGAUAUAAGAAGGAACACCAGUGGCGAAGGCGACUACCUGGACUGAUACUGACACUGAGGUGCGAAAGCGUGGGGAGCAAACAGGAUUAGAAACCCUUGUAGUCC